GCGGGAAUAGCUCGUUAUAGAGCACGACCUGGCGUCGGGGUCGCGAGUUCGAGUCUCGUUUCCCGCUCCA
rnacentral:tRNA from 1 species